UACGGGCGGGGCGAGCGUUAUUCGGAUUCAUUGGGCGUAAAGGGCGCGCAGGCGGCAUAGUAAGUCAGAGGUGAAAUCUCCACGGCUCAACCGGGAAAUUGCCUUUGGUACUGCUGUGCUUGAGUACGGUAGAGGCAAGCGGAAUUCUCAGUGUAGCGGUGAAAUGCGUAGAUAUUGGGAGGAACACCGGUGGCGAAGGCGGCUUGCUGGGCCGUAACUGACGCUGAGGCGCGAAAGCCAGGGGAGCGAACGGG
rnacentral:rRNA from 1 species